ensembl:lncRNA
AUGUGUAAAAGCUGUUGUUUGAAAGACCAAGAAAAUGCUUCUGCUUGGACUUUGUUGGUGCUAUGAGUUUAAACUAUUCAUACCUCUGCCCAGCCACCUCAGAAUAAUCCCCACUGGCGGCCGGUUCUGGCCUGGGUCUGGACCGGUUCUGCCGAGUUUCCGGCCCUGUUUUGCUCCAGACUCGGUCUCUAUCGGGGAUCUGUUUUUUUUUUUUUUUUGGGACAAUCCCUACCUCGGGAUUCUGGUGACCAGCACACACACACACAGACACACAGACACACACACACAGACACACACACACACACACAUACAAGGGGUGAGGCCAUUUGGAAGUGAAGAUGGAGAGAAUGACCCUACUGCUUGGACACACCUGGCCCUUCUUCCUUCCGUUUCCACCUGAUGUUUGUCCUUGUUUGUUCGUUCAUUCGUUUCGUCUGUUUUUAGACAAAAAAAAAUCUCCAGCUGCAGAUCAUGUUAACGUUUGUUUAAAAAAAAGAAAAAAAAAUAGAGGUCAAAGGUGAAAUCUGCUCUACAUCAGGAAGAGAAAAGGUCCCUUUUGUGUCCCUUUUGUGAACACUUUUGCUCAAGCUUCACACUGCUCCACCACGAACAGCUUCUGUGUCUGUGUGUGUGUGAGUGUGUGUGUUUGUGUAUGUAUGUGUGUUCGUUCCUCCCCUGUAACGUGAUGCCUUUCGUAAGCAAUAGACUUGCUCCAGUGUUUUGUCAUAUCUAGGACUUCACACACAAACUGCACAGACAAUCAGAAAUGAUGUUGAGAGAGCACGAGAGCGACCGAGCAAGCGAGAGAGAAAGAGAGAGAAAGAGGGAGAGCACAAUUUUGAUACCUGAUUGAAUGGAUGUGGGUAUGAGCGGUCUACUUUCACAGAGGAAUGUAAUAGUCAUGGGAUGUGAAUGGCUGAAUCUUAAACCUAACUCAGUUUGAAGUGAAAAGACAAAACAAAAUUAAAAAAAAAGAUAUUUUACAGUAUAAAGGAUAAAGGUUGUAUAUUUUAAGAUUGCAGAUAUUUUUUACAGAAGUUAUAUGCAUACUAUGAGUCAUUUUACCGUUUUUGCAUACAUAGUUCUUUUUCUCAAAUUUCUACAAAGACAGCAUCCUGUUGCUUCUCAAAACAAGAAUAAGCCCAUAACCAGGUCCACAACAACAAGAACCCCAUAACCAGGUCCACAACAACAACCCCAUAACCAGGUCCACAACAAGAAUAAGCCCAUAACCAGGUCCACAACUAGAAUAAGCCCAUAGCCAGGUCCAGAACAAGAAUAAGCCCAUAGCCAGGUCCACAACUAGAAUAAGCCCAUAGCCAGGUCCAGAACAAGAAUAAGCCCAUAGCCAGGUCCACAACAAGAAUAAGCCCAUAGCCAGGUCCACAACUAGAAUAAGCCCAUAGCCAGGUCCACAACUAGAAUAAGCCCAUAGCCAGGUCCAGAACCCCAUAACCAGGUCCAGAAGCACCCAAAGGAGAAAUACACUUACAGUGGGGAAAAUAAGUAUUUGAACCCCUGCCGAUUUCGCAAGUUUGGCCACUUGCAAAGAAAUGUGUGAUCUAUAAUUGUAAUGGUAGGUCUAUUUUAACAGUGAGAGACAGAAUAUCCACAAAAAACAUCCAGAAAACUGCAUUUUAUAACAGGUAUGAAUUGAUUUGCAUUUGUCGCGGAAAAUAAGUAUUGAAUACUUAAUAAAUACUUAUUUUCCCCACUGUACAUGGAGUAAUAUAACUAAAUGGAACUCCUUUUCCAUUUAACGGCAGGUUCAGAAAGACAAGUGUCACUUUAAGCAAUCAGAUAACACCUGUCUCACCCGUCAGAUAAACAGACAGAUAAACCGAUAACACCUGUCUCACCUGUCUGAGGGGAUAGUUGUGACCCCACAAGGCAAGAGCUCUUACAAUCCAGGAAAAAAGAUGAAUGAACAGCAGCCAGUGUGUCUGAUAAGUGUGUAUCAAAA